CACGACCAUUAUUCUGAAAAACAGAGAGAAAAGAAAACCAAAAACCAUUUCUUGGCUGGUUUGAAGAAAUUCUAAGGAGAUCCAAGUGAAAGCAAAGCCAAAGAAGUAGAUUAAGCUUAGUUCUAGCCUUUUUAUGAUAUUUCUUGGGGUUUCCAAGUGGUUUGAGGUUUAGAAAAGCUUGAAGAGAUUGUUUUCGCUGAAAAGUUGCUCGGUAGAGAAAGAAAUAUGUGAAUGAUAUGAGGAGAACUGAAGCAUGGUCCUGACCCUGAUUUGUACAUAUGAACACAUCGACCUUUUUGUGGGUUAUUUCAGUUAUCAGUGAGAUGUUUGUAAUAAAGUGUGAAGUUAUGUUUUGAAAAUAAAUUGGGUUAUUUAAUACUUAUGUAUAAUAUGUUUGAGACACACUUUAUGUUUAAUGUAAAUAAUGUGAAAUAAGUUUUCAAGUUUUAAAAAAAAAAAAAAAAAAAAAUGU